UACAGAGGUCCCGAGCGUUGUUCGGAUUCAUUGGGCGUAAAGGGUGCGUAGGCGGCUUGCUAAGUUUGAUGUGAAAUCCUGGGGCUCAACCCUGGGACUGCAUUGAAUACUGGCAGGCUAGAGUACUGGAGAGGAAACUGGAAUUUACGGUGUAGCAGUGAAAUGCGUAGAGAUCGUAAGGAAGACCAGUGGCGAAGGCGAGUUUCUGGACAGUUACUGACGCUGAGGCACGAAGGCCAGGGGAGCAAACGGG
rnacentral:rRNA from 1 species